GUGCCAGCAGCCGCGGUAAUACGGAAGGUCCUGGCGUUAUCCGGAUUUAUUGGGUUUAAAGGGAGCGUAGGCGGAACUUAAGCGUGCUGUGAAAUGUACCGGCUCAACCGGUGACGUGCAGCGUGAACUGGGUUUCUUGAGUGUGCGGAAGGAAGGCGGAAUUCGUGGUGUAGCGGUGAAAUGCUUAGAUAUCACGAAGAACUCCGAUUGCGAAGGCAGCUUUCCGUAGCAUUACUGACGCUGAAGCUCGAAAGCGCGGGUAUCGAACAGGAUUAGAUACCCUGGUAGUCCGCGCGGUAAACGAUGGAUACCCGCUGUCCGGCUUUUUGGUCGGGUGGCCAAGCGAAAGCAUUAAGUAUCCCACCUGGGGAGUACGCCGGCAACGGUGAAACUCAAAGGAAUUGACGGGGGCCCGCACAAGCGGAGGAACAUGUGGUUUAAUUCGAUGAUACGCGAGGAACCUUACCCGGGCUUGAACUGCAGCUGAACGAUAGAGAGAUCUUGAGGCCCUUCGGGGCAGCUGUGGAGGUGCUGCAUGGUUGUCGUCAGCUCGUGCCGUGAGGUGUCGGCUUAAGUGCCAUAACGAGCGCAACCUUGCGGUCAGUUGCCAUCAGGUUAUGCUGGGCACUCUGGCCGGACUGCCACCGUAAGGUGUGAGGAAGGUGGGGAUGACGUCAAAUCAGCACGGCCCUUACGUCCGGGGCUACACACGUGUUACAAUGGGGCAUACAGAGAGCCGGUCGUUCGCAAGUGCGAUCCAAUCCUUAAAGUGCCUCGUAGUUCGGAUUGGGGUCUGCAACCCGACCCCAUGAAGCUGGAUUCGCUAGUAAUCGCGCAUCAGCCAUGGCGCGGUGAAUACGUUCCCGGGCCUUGUACACACCGCCCGU
rnacentral:rRNA from 1 species